GUAUCAUUGAUAAUUCUCAUCAUGUUCAUUGAUUAAAGUUGAGCAAUAGCAUAAAGCUACACAAUAAUAAUCCAACCCAAAUAGGUAAACAAGGACAUGGAUAACAAAAGCUAGUCAAUUCUUAAGUUGAUCAUGGCAUGCGGGUUGAUGAAUUAUACAGUAAAUGGGACAUAAUAGGUCAGAGGACACUUGUCUUCACCAAACAUAUGCUUAGGAUCUUCAGCCUCGUAGAACUCGGAGAGUUCAGUCUCUUGGUCGCCGAAGCUUGACUGUCGAUUCCUCGAAGCUCGGAAAUGGAUCACAGUCUAUUCGCGUCACCCAGCGAAUACCAACAGGCACAAACAAACAGACAUAUGUAUAUGCAUAAGAACAUUACACCAUUCAAAUAAAAAUAUAAUAAAACAUGCAAAAUGAAAUAGAGUGCGCUACUAUAGUCACGCGAGGAAAAGAAACACGAUAGUCGGAGCUACGGUCGAGAAGUUAGCGCGUUUACUCUAAAAAUAUUAGUUAGAACAUUUGAUUCGAUGUUAUCAAAUAUAAAUUAUACCUAAUAUUUAGUUUCGCUUAACCUGUUACACUAGCAGCUGUUAGUUAACUAGUAAUUUAAUUAAAGCGAGAGAUUAUAAGCGAUGCGAAUUUACGAUACAUGAAACAACACGACAGCGUGCAGAAGGACGCUCGGACACGCACGACCACACGCGAUUUAGCGCGCGGACGACGCCUGAAACAGCAUGACAGUGCGCAAACGACGCGCGGACACGCGCGACAUAGCACGCGGACAACGCGCAGCGAUGCGCACGAUCCGCACGCGCGACACGCGGGGACGACUAACCAACAUCACCUUUAUGAUAAACAAGUAUUAAUUAAAAACAUUCGAGUAGGCAUAAUCUUAUUAACAUGUAUUUGUAAAGCAGAACUAAAAUUAUAAAUUGAUUUAAGUAGAUUGCUACUUUACUAAUUAUAGGAUAAGUAAAUAAAUAAUCACUUAAUUAACUAAAACAUGUGGGCAACGUCGUUACAAUUCUAACGCAACCGGAACAAAACAAAACAUAUUUAUAACACAAGAGCUAACAUAUAAUUAGCAAUUCACAGAUUUAAAGUGAUGUGGCGGAUUCCUAUUGGUUGCAAACAAGUCACAACUAGGCCACACAAAACUUAGCCACGGAGAAUUGGAAAGGGGUGGGAUCGAGCAUGGCAUUUCUUCCUCCUCUCUGCAACUGCCCACGCACACAGGAACAUAGGUUGCCAUGGGGACUGCAGGGGCUAGCUCGGCCUGAUCUUCACACUCGGAGGGAUGGGGCUUGCUACGCCCGCCGGCUGGCAGGAGCACCGCGCGCUGGAGGGGACGGUCAGCAAGGGCCGCUUGGGCUGUGCGCGGGCGCCCUGCUGCCUGUGGCUAGGGGCGAGCUCGCAGGCCAGGAAGAGCGACCAUGGGGCCAGGGCGGGGGCGAGGCAGGGGCCAGGGCGGGGGCGAGGCAGGGGCCAGGUGCGCGGGGCCUGCACGCCGGGGCGCUGGGCUCGCUGCGCACUGCGGGCCGCGACGGCAGCAGGCCAUCGGCCAUGCAUAGGGACAGGGAGCAGGGACCGGACGCCUAGCGCGUGGGCAAGCCGCCGAGCUAGCGCGCCGCCACGCCGGCCGACCGCCGCGCCGCGCCCUGCGCGGGGGGUCACACUCGACCGUGGAUCUAGCGCGGGGGAGGGCAGCCAUGGCCAGGGGCGAGCCAGCCGAGGGGCAUGGGCGGGCUGGAGCCGCGCCCGCGACUGGUUGCUGCGACCUAGGGGAUGAAGGGCGCCUGGGGAGCUGGGCUGCGCGCUGGCCGGUGGGGAGGCCGCGACAAGGGCGAGCCGCCGCGCAGGGCCUCCUGGCCGCGACGCGGGGCGGGACCGUGGGACUUGGCCGCAUAACGGAGGGAAAGGGAGCCACGCGAGGUAUCACCGAGAGGAAACGAACCGCUCGGCCGGGGGACAGAGAGGACUGCUCGCCGGGGAAGGAGAACGGCGCGACGCGGGGCUGCAGGGAGGGUCCGUCGAGGGGGAGAGAGGAUGGGGAAGGGAAGAGAGGGGAGAGGACUCACCGGGAACCGCCAUGUGCAGGGACGACAGCUUCUGCGUGAUUUGGAUCUGGGGAAGGAGACUAGAGGUUAU
rnacentral:lncRNA from 1 species